CCUACGGGGGGCAGCAGUGAGGAAUAUUGGUCAAUGGACGAGAGUCUGAACCAGCCAAGUAGCGUGAAGGAUGACUGCCCUAUGGGUUGUAAACUUCUUUUAUAUGGGAAUAAAAUGUUCCACGUGUGGGAUUUUGUAUGUACCAUAUGAAUAAGGAUCGGCUAACUCCGUGCCAGCAGCCGCGGUAAUACGGAGGAUCCGAGCGUUAUCCGGAUUUAUUGGGUUUAAAGGGAGCGUAGGUGGAUUGUUAAGUCAGUUGUGAAAGUUUGCGGCUCAACCGUAAAAUUGCAGUUGAAACUGGCAGUCUUGAGUACAGUAGAGGUGGGCGGAAUGCGUGGUGUAGCGGUGAAAUGCUUAGAUAUCACGAAGAACUCCGAUUGCGAAGGCAGUUCACUGGACUGCAACUGACACUGAGGCUCGAAAGUGUGGGUAUCAAACAGGAUUAGAGACCCCUGUAGUC
rnacentral:rRNA from 1 species